ensembl:snRNA U6 U6 spliceosomal RNA
AUGCUUGCUUUGGCAGCACAUAUACUAAAACUGGAAUGGUGAAGAGAAGGUUAGCAUGGCCCCUGCACAAAGAUGAUAUGAAAACUGAUGAAGCAUUCCAUUAAAAA